AGCGAACGCUGGCGGCAGGCCUAACACAUGCAAGUCGAACGGAUCCUUCGGGAUUAGUGGCGGACGGGUGAGUAACACGUGGGAACGUGCCCUUUGGUUCGGAACAACUCAGGGAAACUUGAGCUAAUACCGGAUGUGCCCUUCGGGGGAAAGAUUAUCGCCAUUGGAGCGGCCCGCGUCUGAUUAGCUAGUUGGUGAGGUAACGGCCCACCAAGGCGACGAUCAGUAGCUGGUCUGAGAGGAUGAUCAGCCACACUGGGACUGAGACACGGCCCAGACUCCUACGGGAGGCAGCAGUGGGGAAUCUUGCGCAAUGGGCGAAAGCCUGACGCAGCCAUGCCGCGUGAAUGAUGAAGGUCUUAGGAUUGUAAAAUUCUUUCAGCGGGGACGAUAAUGACGGUACCCGCAGAAGAAGCUCCGGCUAACUUCGUG
rnacentral:rRNA from 1 species